GAUGAAGAACGUAGCAAAAUGCGAUAAGUAAUGUGAAUUGCAGAAUUCAGUGAAUCAUCGAAUCUUUGAACGCACAUUGCGCCCGCUGGUAUUCCGGCGGGCAUGCCUGUUCGAGCGUCAUUUCAACCCUCAAGCCCCCGGGUUUGGUGUUGGGGAUCGGCUCUGCCCUUCUGGGCGGUGCCGCCCCCGAAAUACAUUGGCGGUCUCGCUGCAGCCUCCAUUGCGUAGUAGCUAACACCUCGCAACUGGAACGCGGCGCGGCCAUGCCGUAAAACCCCAACUUCUGAAUGUUGACCUCGGAUCAGGUAGGAAUACCCGCUGAACUUAAGCAUAUCAAUAAGAGGAGGA
rnacentral:misc_RNA from 1 species